GACGAACGCUGGCGGCGUGCUUAACACAUGCAAGUCGAACGGAGUGGCGAACGGGUGAGUAUUACGUGAGUAACCUGCCCUCAACUGUGGGAUAAGCCUGGGAAACUGGGUCUAAUACUGCAUAGUUUGGGAUGGGCUCGCGGCCUAUCAGCUUGUUGGUGGGGUGGUGGCCUACCAAGGCGGUGACGGGUAGCCGGCCUGAGAGGGUGGUGGGCCAGAUUGGGAAUGGGGUCCGGCCCAGACUGCUACGGGAGGGAGCAGUGGGGGAGAUUGCACAAUGGGAGCAAGCCUGAUGCAGCGACGCCGCGUGAGGGAUGAAGGCUUUCGGGUUGUAAACCUGUUGGGGUACAGAACGGGUAUGUGCAGAAGAAGCGACGGCUAACUACGUGCCAGCAGCCGCGGUAAUUC
rnacentral:rRNA from 1 species